rnacentral:rRNA from 1 species
GACAGAGGGUGCAAACGUUGUUCGGAAUUACUGGGCGUAAAGCGUGUGUAGGCGGUCCACUAAGUCGGAUGUGAAAGCCCACGGCUCAACCGUGGAAGCGCAUCCGAAACGGCCUCGCUCGAGUCUCGGAGAGGAAGGUGGAAUGCUUGGUGUAGAGGUGAAAUUCGUAGAUAUCAAGCAGAACACCUGCGGCGAAGGCGGCCUUCUGGACGAUGACUGACGCUGAGACGCGAAAGCGUGGGGAGCAAACAGG